GACGAACGCUGGCGGCGUGCUUAACACAUGCAAGUCGAACGGAAAGGCCCUGCUUUUGUGGGGUGCUCGAGUGGCGAACGGGUGAGUAACACGUGAGUAACCUGCCCUUGACUUUGGGAUAACUUCAGGAAAUUGGGGCUAAUACCGGAUAGGAGCUCCUGCUGCAUGGUGGGGGUUGGAAAGUUUCGGCGGUUGGGGAUGGACUCGCGGCUUAUCAGCUUGUUGGUGGGGUAGUGGCUUACCAAGGCUUUGACGGGUAGCCGGCCUGAGAGGGUGACCGGCCACAUUGGGACUGAGAUACGGCCCAGACUCCUACGGGAGGCAGCAGUGGGGAAUAUUGCACAAUGGGCGGAAGCCUGAUGCAGCAACGCCGCGUGCGGGAUGACGGCCUUCGGGUUGUAAACCGCUUUCGCCUGUGACGAAGCGUGAGUGACGGCAAUGGGUAAAGAAGCACCGGCUAACUACGUG
rnacentral:rRNA from 1 species